GCAGAUUAAAGCCGAUAAUCCUAUCUCUCUGAAGUUGCAGUGAAGCGGAUUAAAACCUUGGAUCUUAUCUCUCUGAAGUUGCAGAAAGCAGAACGCAUCUAGUCUUAUCUCUCUGAAGUUGCAAUGGAGCAGACUAAUUAAACAAAUCACAUCUCCCUAAAGUUGUAGCGGAGUGGAUUAGAAUGAUGGAUCUUAUCUCUCUGAAAUUACAGUAGAGCAGAUCGCAUCAAAUUCAUCUUUAAGUUGCAGCAGACCAAGCCGAAGCUACCAAUCCUAUCUUUUCGACGUUCCGGUGGAGUAGAUCGAGACACCAAUUCCUAUACCUCUGAAGAUGCAGUAGGAUGGAUGUGGCUGCUUGAAGAAGAAGAGCACCAAGAUCCAGCGUGACCGGGCAAAAAUUGGCCAUUUCUAAAGUCUUUGCUCCGUUCCUGUUACACGACAACGAGCAAAUAGGGGCAGCUGUAAUACUCAAUUUUAGCCCGGACUCACAUAUGGAAACAUAAUCUUCGAGGAUAUGCAAUCUUAGAUAUGAUAUGUAAUCUUAGAUAUGAUAUAUGCAAUCUUAGAUAUGAUAUGUAAUCUUAGAAGAUGUGAUUUUGUAAUCUUAGAGAUUUAAUUUGUAGAUACCCU
rnacentral:lncRNA from 1 species